rnacentral:rRNA from 1 species
UACGUAGGGGGCUAGCGUUGUCCGGAAUCAUUGGGCGUAAAGCGCGUGUAGGCGGUCCGGUAAGUCCGCUGUGAAAGUCGAGGGCUCAACCCUCGAAUGCCGGUGGAUACUGUCGGGCUAGAGUACGGAAGAGGCGAGUGGAAUUCCUGGUGUAGCGGUGAAAUGCGCAGAUAUCAGGAGGAACACCGGUGGCGAAGGCGGGUCUCUGGGCCGAUACUGACGCUGAGGAGCGAAAGCGUGGGGAGCGAACAGG